CUGGGGGUCGAAGCCCGUUUUACUGAAAAUAACCCUGUGACAUGUUGCUGUUAAACGGGCUAAUGUUAUUGAUCGACAAGCUGACAGUAGACUGACAGUAGACAUCUGGGUUGUUCUUAACCCCAGACACCAUCUCUCCUUGUUCCACUCAGGGUAGCAGGGUGGCCUAGUGGCUAGAGUGUAGAGGAGGCAGGUAGCCUAGUGGUUAGAGUGUAGAGGUGGCAGGUAGCCUAGUGGUUAGAGUGUAGAGGCGGCAGGUAGUCUAGUGGUUAGAGUGUAGAGGUGGCAGGUAGCCUAGUGGUUAGAAUGUAUAGGCGGCAGGUAGUCUAGUGGUUAGAGUGUAGAGGAGGCAGGUAGCCUAGUGGUUAGAGUGUAGAGGCGGCAAGUAGUCUAGUGGUUAGAGUGUUGGACUAGUAACCGAAAGGUUGCAAGUUCAAAUCCCCG
ensembl:lncRNA